rnacentral:rRNA from 1 species
UACGGAGGGUGCAAGCGUUGUUCGGAAUCACUGGGCGUAAAGGGCGUGUAGGUGGCUAAUUAAGUCAGGUGUGAAAUCCUUCCGCUUAACGGGAGAAGUGCACUUGAAACUGCUUAGCUAGAGUACGGGAGAGGAAGGUGGAAUUCCUGGUGUAGAGGUGAAAUUCAUAGAUAUCGGGAAGAACACCGGUGGCGAAGGCGGCCUUCUGGCCCGAUACUGACGCUGAGACGCGAAAGCGUGGGGAGCAAAC